rnacentral:rRNA from 1 species
GACGAACGCUGGCGGCGUGCUUAACACAUGCAAGUCGAACGAAGUGGCGAACGGGUGAGUAACGCGUAAUCAACCUGCCCUUCAGAGGGGGACAACAGUGGGAAACGACUGCUAAAACCGCAUACUGAAGGAGGGGAAUGCGUCUGGUUAGCUAGUUGGAGGGGUAACGGCCUACCAAGGGGAAGGUCAGUAGCCGGUCUGCGAGGAGGAACGGCCCACAUGGGAACGGGUAACGGCCCAGACUCCUACCGGAGGCCGCCGUGGGGAAUCUUCCGCAAUGGAGGAAAGUCUGACGGAGCAACGCCGCGGUAGUGAAGACGGCUUUCGGGUUGUAAAGCUCUGUUUAUCGGGACGCGGUACCGGAAUAGAAAGCCACGGCUAACUACGUGCCAGCAGCCGCGGUAAUAC